GUGUGUACCUGUCCACGUACCCUCCGCAAGAGCAAGAUACUGGUCACACGCUGUUCGAGACGCGUUUCGAGACCCGGUUCCCAAUGAGUAAACCGGCGAUUUCGUUCUGAUA
rnacentral:sRNA from 1 species